rnacentral:snRNA from 1 species
GUGCUCGCUUCACCAGCAUAUAUACCAAACAAAAUUGGAACAAUACAGAGAUGAUCAGCACGGCCCCCACACAAGGAUGAUAUGCAUACCCGGGAAGCGUUCUAUAUUUAA